GAAGCUUUAUCAGAGGUGCUUUCCAUCACCAGCUGCUCUAGUGAGACACUCAGAUCGAAGACCGUACAUUACAAGCCUACAGCUAGUAACCGCCCAUUUAUGAUGAAAAGCUCUUUUGUAAAAACUAACAUUUGCAACCACCUAUCCUUCUGGCCAAUUCACUCUGGUUUAGGUGCCAUGUGACCAAGAGUCACAGGACCACUGGAGAGCACUGCACUGACGGCGACAGGGCUUUCCACCCAGUGGGACAUCAGAUCUGCCUGGCAACACCGAAGAUUGUUCUAAUGGUUCAUCACAUGUGAACAAAAUGACACCUAAUUUAACUGUGUCCCUGUGAAAUGACACCUGACUUAACUGUGUCCCUGUGAAAUGACAUCUGACUUAACUGUGUCCCUGUGAAAUGACACCUGACUUAACUGUGUCCCUGUGAAAUGACACCUGACUUAACUGUCCCCAUGUUUCAUGCAUGAUUUGAUGAAAUGCAAAGAAUUUCAAGUUGACAGCCAGCAAAAUUGUACUAAAUUACAGAUGCAUCGCAUAAAAUAGGCUGGGUAGAUACUCAACAUAUGAAUACGUGCCAUAUUUUAAAAGCAGGUACAGAAAGCCAGCUGAGAGAAGUGAAACUCUGUUUUGUUGGAACAGUUCUGCUCACUGGGCUCAGUGGCUGUGGUCCCGUGAAGGUUCUUAUGGGAACACUUUGCAGGUUCCUGUAACACCUACAAUAGAGCACUUUUAGUAUGGACUGUGGUGACUGCCUUGUGGGAUGUACUUCAUUCAC